AGUGAAGCUCGGGGAUCGAGAGUUUUAAAAGGGUCACUAAUUACAAAAUGAAACCGGUGAAAAGUGUUACGGUACAUUGAGAUUCUGGGUUCUGCC
ensembl:ncRNA C13C12.7 ncRNA